GCGUGGGUAACCUGCCUCACACUGGGGAUAACAGUUAGAAAUGACUGCUAAUACCGCAUAAGCGCACAGUGCUGCAUGGCACAGUGUGAAAAACUCCGGUGGUAUGAGAUGGACCCGCGUCUGAUUAGCUAGUUGGUGGGGUAACGGCCUACCAAGGCGACGAUCAGUAGCCGGCCUGAGAGGGUGAACGGCCACAUUGGGACUGAGACACGGCCCAAACUCCUACGGGAGGCAGCAUG
rnacentral:rRNA from 1 species